rnacentral:lncRNA from 1 species
CUGGAUACCAACGUGAGAAACAUGAACCUUGUUUUCUUCCUCCGGUUCUAGGAAACAAUGCUAGACAGAUCUAGCACCUUGCGCCCUGCCAAAUAGGAGAGUGGAAUGAUGCUAGUUGGGUUGGUCCAGAGCAACAACCUGCGAGCGUAUGAUAUGAGCAAAUGGUUGCUGUGCAGGGGACACAAAGAGGUGAGGGUGAUGAUGAAGAUAGAAAAGCCAAAAAAAACAAGCAACGACAGAUUUAAACAAGCUCCCCAACUUAAAGAAGAAUAACAGCAAGGAAUCUACGGCGAUGAUGGAGAUCUAGAAAAAAUGGAUUAAAACAAAGAUUUAAAGGAGGAUUAGUAGCAAGAGAGCAAGAAGAAUACGAUCAGCAAGAGCCAAUCUACGAGAACAACAAAGAGGGCUAACAUCAA